ensembl:lncRNA
AUGGACCAGUAUGGCCCAAACCCUCUCCCAGUACAAACCAGUGCUCCCAGUAUGGCCCCAAACCCCAUCCCAGUGUUCCCAGUAUGGACCAGUUUGGCUCCCAGUGCUCCCAGUAUGGACCAGUUUGGCUCCCAGUGCUCCCAGUAUGGACCAGUGACCCCUCUCAGUGUUCCCAGUAUGGACCAGUAUGGCCCAAACCCUCUCCCAGUACAAACCAGUGCUCCCAGUAUGACCCCAAACCCCAUCCCAGUGUUCCCAGUAUGGACCAGUGACCCCUCCCAGUGCUCCCAGUAUGGACCAGUGACCCCUCCCAGUGCUCCCAGUAUGGACCAGUUUGGCUCCCAGUGCUCCCAGUAUGAACCAGUAACCGCUCCCAGUGCUCCCAGUAUGAACCAGUGACCCCUCCCAGUGCUCCCAGUAUGGACCAGUAUGACCCAAACCCUCUCCCAGUAUUCCCAGUUUGGCUCCCAGUGCUCCCAGUAUGGCUCCCAGUGCUCCCAGUAUAGAUCCCAGUGGUCCCAGUAUGACCCAGUUUGGCUCCCAGUGCUCCCAGUAUAAACCAGUAACCCCCAAUCCUACCCAGUAACCCCUCCCAGUUUGAUCCCAGUCCCUCCCAGUCCCUCCCAGUUUGAUCCCAGUCCCUCCCAGUUUGAUCCCAGUCCCUCCCAGUCCCUCCCAGUCCCUCCCAGUUCAUCCCAGUCCCUCCCAGUCCCCCCGGGCCGGGCCUGUCCCAGCAGCUCCUCCCCCGCCAGACCAGUUCUCCCAGUUCUCCCAGUAACCCCUCCCAGUUUGCCCAGUAACGCCUCCCAGUGCUCCCAGUUUGCCCAGUGACCCCUCCCAGUGCUCCCAGUUUGCCCAGUAACCCCUCCCAGUGCUCCCAGUUUGCCCAGUGACCCCUCCCAGUGCUCCCAGUGCUCCCAGUUCCCGCUUCCGGCAGCCCCAGUCACCCCUCCCAGUGCUCCCAGUAUGACCAGUAACCCCCUCCCAUUGCUCCCAGUGCUCCCAGUUUACCCAGUAACCCCCUCCCAGUGCUCCCAGUUUGCCCAGUAACCCCCUCCCAGUGCUCCCAGUAUGCCCAGUAACCCCCUCCCAGUGCUCCCAGUACUCCCAGUUUGCCCAGUAACCCCCUCCCAGUGCUCCCAGUAUGCCCAGUAACCCCCUCCCAGUGCUCCCAGUAUGCCCAGUAACCCCCUCCCAGUGCUCCCAGUACUCCCAGUUUGCCCAGUAACCCCCUCCCAGUGCUCCCAGUAUGCCCAGUAACCCCUCCCAGUGCUCCCAGUGCUCCCAGUUUGCCCAGUAACCCCCUCCCAGUGCUCCCAGUUUGCCCAGUAACCCCCUCCCAGUGCUCCCAGUUUGCCCAGUUUGCCCAGUAACCCCCUCCCAGUGCUCCCAGUGCUCCCAGUUUGCCCAGUAACCCCCUCCCAGUGCUCCCAGUAACCCCCCAGUGCUCCCAGUUACCCCAUUUGCCCCUCCCAGUGCUCCCAGUUUGCCCAGUUCACCCUCCCAGCGCUCCCAGUAACCCCCCAGUGCUCCCAGUUUGCCCAGUAACCCCUUCCCAAUGCUCCCAGUUUGCCCAGUUCGCCCUCCCAGUGCUCCCAGUACCUCCUCGGGGGCUCCCAGUAGCUCCCAGUAACUCCCAGUAACUCCCAGUGCCGGCGGAGCGUAAAAGGGGCGUGGCCAUCGGAGGAAGGGGCGUGGCCAGUGGGGAAAGGGGCGUGGCCAACACAGGCCCCGCCCCUUUGGCUCACUAUUUGGCACUAUGGGCGGAACAAUGGAUCACUAUGUGGCAACCCCGGAACACUUCCCAGUACAAACCAGUACAAACCAGUAAGAGCGGAACCACCCAGAAUGGUUCCCAGUGGGGCCCGCAGUGUCCUGAGCGCCCUCCCAGUAUAAACCAGUACAAACCAGUAUGCCUUAAAUCAUUCCCAGUGCGUCCCGGGGCUUCGGGAGCGCUCCCCCAGUACAAACCAGUAUAAACCAGUAUAAACCAGUACAAACCAGUAUAAACCAGUGACCCCAACAGUCGUUCCCAGCGGGUCCUGAAUCUUCGGAGCGCACUGCCAGUAUAAACCAGUAUAAACCAGUAUA